UACGUAGGGGGCGAGCGUUAUCCGGAAUUACUGGGGGUAAAGCGCACGCAGGCGGUUCGCCAAGUUUGGAGUGACAGUUGUCGGCUCAACCGACAAAGGACUUCAAAAACUGGUGAACUUGAGGACGAGAGAGGAACAUGGAACUCCAGGUGUAGUAGUGAAAUGCGUAGAUAUCUGGAAGAACACCAAUGGCGAAGGCAAUGUUCUGGCUCGUUUCUGACGCUCAGGUGCGAAAGCCAGGGGAGCGAACGGG
rnacentral:rRNA from 1 species